GUUGACUAAAAAGUAGGUUGAAAAUAUUCAGCUGUUCUAUACCAGUCAGAUGCAGUCAAGUGAUUCAUUACAGGAAAGUUUUAAAUCCUCAUAUUUGUUUCUGCCCUUAUCAAGUCAUUUCCUAUAGUCAUCCUUUCUGAAAAUGUGGUGCCCUAGGACACAGAAGAACAAUCUAAGGAGGAAGUGUGCUGCCCAUUGCAGCACUGCACCGUUUCCCAUUGAUCUUCCUGGUCCAUAAAUAAAAAGCUGCAGUGAACAAUAAUAGGGUGACAUUAGAUGGUAACAUGUUAGGAUUGCACAUUGUGUUUUGUUUGAGAAAUCUUGGGAAGUGAGUCAAACUUAUUCAGAGCUAUUGGUGGUGCUAAAUUUAUCGGUGUCAACUUGGUAAUAUUUAACAGCUGGGUUUUGAUUUUUAUAGUCACUCAGCUGUAGGUGCCAGCUGUAUUUUGAAAGUAACCCCUACACUUCUGAUGAAGAAACAAAGUUGUGCCCGUCAAGUUAAGUGGGGCAGGGAACUAGGGGUCAAUUUAAUAAAGUAAAACCACUUCAGGUUUGUGUACAAGGGGCAGUGAAGAAACAGGCAGGGAGCAGUAAUCCCCAAAGGGCCAUCUUGGUCUUUGACCUGCAGUGCUGCAUGCAGACUGGAGGAAGUAGAGUGGGAUGCAGAGGAACAAAGCUAUGUGUGUGUCAGCUGGAGAGGGAGGGGGAGAUUUAAAAAAAAAAAAAAGAGUCAAAUUCAAAUGAGGUGGAGUCACCAGAGCAUGAAUGCACUGAAUGGGCAGUCUGGCUGGGACACAAGCAGCAAAGCUAACAGGAACAAUCAGUGAAUUAUUUUCCAUCUGGAUGGAGUGGACUCUGUCUUGUCUGUCUUCAGCUGAAUGACUUGAUUUAGAGCAACAGCCUGUUUUUCCCUCCCUUCCCCCCCAAUUGAGACUUGGAAUCCUCUUUGCCGUAAGGGUUAUUGCAUUGGGGAAAGAAAAUGGGAAGGUACUGCUGGGUUAUGUGGGGAGUAUCUUUGCUGGAGUCUCUGCUUACUCGAGGAACUAGCCUGCCUGCUGCCCUCUCUUAAAGCGAAGAAAGAAUGCAAGGAGAUUGGUUCAGCAGAAGGGAGCUCCUUGUUGUUUCUUUCUCCCAUAAAGUUUUCCACCACCCGAAUCUCUGUCAUGACUGCUUCCAUAGUUCACACAAUAUCUUCCCAGCUGACCAUACUGGCUUUCCGCAACGAACGCGCUCCCGCCUGGAGAACAUUGGAACUGUUGGAUCUGCUGGGUCUCUGGGGAGAGGAGGCUGUCCAGUCUCAGUUUCGCUCCAGCCGUAGGAACUUUGAUACCUCCGGGCUGAUCGCUAGUGGCAUGCAAGACAAGGGGCAUGAAAGGGACACCCAGCAGUGCCAUCCUAAGGGAUCAAGGAGCUGAGGCUGGCGUACCAGAAGGCAAGGGAAACCUACCAUUGCUCUGGUGUGGCACCGGAGACAUGCCACUUCUACAAGGAACUGCACGCCAUCCUCUGCAGUAACCCCACCUCCACCACCAAGAGCCCCAUGAAUACUUCUGGGGGGAUUGGAGUCAGCAACCAGCAGACUCAACCCUGAAGGCAAAGUAGUGGAGGAGGAAGUGGAGCUGGAGGAUGAUGUGGAGCACACGGCAGAGUCAUCCAGUGGCAUGGCAAGUCGGGACCUCUUUUCCACUCCGGAGGGUCUAGUCAAUCCCAGCUUUCCACUCUGGUAUACGUGAUGCAGGAGAGGGGAGCUCCGGUAAGUGCUCACUUUGUUCGAUACUACAUGGUGUGUGGAAAUCGAGCUCUCAUUUAUUUUGUUAUAUGGUAGAGGAGGGAUAAGGGACAGAAAUUAACAACAGAGCCUGUGCAUCUUUGUAGUGGGGGCCGGGCAGAAAAGUUUGUUAAUGUACAUGGGGAUGACCUGGGAAUUCUCCAUAGAGAUCUCCAGGAAACUGAUACUCUGCUGAAGGUUCCUUGGGAGAUCUGCCUUCUUUCUCUCCUUGCUGUAGGAAACUUUGCCAUGCCACAAGGCAAUUAUUUCUGCAGAGACCAGAGUGGCAUACAGGCAAGCAGCAUAUGAAGCCGGUCUGAAGCCACACGAAUGCAGAAGAGAUGUACCCUUGAGGACCCACUCCUCCACACCGGUGGAGCCCCUCAGUCAGAGAAGGUGAUGAAUCAGAACGAGUAAGGAGGACAUGUUUUGUGAAGUGCUGCAGGCAACAGAUACAGCAGAUAGUGAAACAAGAGCAUGGAGGGAGACAGCUAAUGAAAAACUCAGGGUGGAUAGCCUGGAAAGGAGAUGGGGCAGGAGUGGAUGAUAGAUGGGCAGAAACAGAAGAUAAAGCUACUGAAGGGCCAGACAGAGAUGCUCAAGUCUCACAUCAUGCUGCAGUCAAAUCACAUCCAUGCCUGGGUCAUUCUACAGCCAAUACAAAACUCUGUUCCAUGCCCUCCCCAAACUCCCCCACCACAUUCCGUGCAUGUUCCCGGUCCCUCACAGAACCCCUUCCACUUCCCCCCUAGGUACUGGUUUCACAGUGAAAGUUGCAGUUACACUCAGCUGUGAGAGCCGUAACCAAGAGACAGUUCCUCAUUUCCCAUGUCCCCUGUUUGACAAAACAUUUGUAUUAUGUCCUGUUAUUAAACUUUAUUC